rnacentral:rRNA from 1 species
GGCCAGCAUCAGUUUUCUGGGGUGGAAAAUCACGGUUUGAAGGUAGCAGUUUCGGCUGUGUUAUAGCUUUCCGUAGGAUACACCANAGGGGACUNAGGAACGCAGUGUNCUUUUANCGGGGGNUUCGACCUNUUCACACUUAGGAUGCUGGUGGAAU